rfam:Ictidomys tridecemlineatus contig077201, whole genome shotgun sequence.
UGGGGUAUGACUUACUGGUAGAGUGCUUGCCUAGCACAUGUGAGGCACUGAGUUCGAUCCUCAGUACCACAU